rnacentral:lncRNA from 1 species
CAAGCUAGCAACGACCACCCUGCCUGAAUGUAAAAAUCGUAUAGAAGUUGGGAUUGGUGCAGAAUGGCAGCUAGUGAAUUAGCCAGAGAUCCACCACCACUGGCUAAACUGGCCGUAGCACCAGCUGAAAAAAGAGAGGCGUGUGACAACUCAGAGGCUCCGUCUGAGAUCAAAAGUCCGAGGCAGAUGCAGCCCCUUGCCAAGAGCACACAAACUGAAGAAUCCUCUCCAAACCAGACCCAGCCGCCCUGCUUCCCAGAUGGCAGAGGGAACAAGAACAGCUUUGGGCUUGAGAAGAGGAACUCUCCCCCUCCACUGGGAGGAGCAGGAAGGAAGUGGGCAGAGGGCUCUGAAGUGGACCGUGAAGAGGAACUGAAAGAGGUAAUGGACCAUCUGUACCCACUUGCAUGGAGGCCACCCAAAGCCUUCUGUAGCUUCAUGUGGCAGUUCCCAAUUGAGUACAGCACAGGACUCUGAGAGCCCUAUUUCGAUAUAUAUGUGUCUGAGGCAACCUCCCUGUGCCUAGCCACUACAGCAGGCCCUAGAUACAUCCAUGCAUCCAUAAUGUAGUGCACAAAUUAACAGUAGUGAUCUAUAGACGUGGCCGGUGCUCGUGUAAUUGAUUCCAAAAUGGUAUGUUUUAAAUAUCAGUAUCCCUCUGUGGGGCGCAGAUCCACAGAGCCAGCUAGACUGGAGAGCUGUAUUUUGUAGAGCUCAAUGGUUCUCACACUGGUCUCUGGUCUCCAGUUACAGCAAGGCUUCAAGCGGCGUUGGAGCCCCGUCGGUGAAUACUUAACUCAUCCAAAAAGCCUCUGGAGACUCUCAACUCUGCAUCCUGUGCAGCUGCUUCAUGGCCUCUGCAAGCUGUCCGGGGGCAUUCUCUAGGAACCUCUGGUUUUUAUUUAGCCUUUGAUCAGCUCCAUCUGUUCUGCUCUUGUGUUUCAAUCCCUAUAAUGGAAGCAGUCGGCUGCUGGAGUGACAAGAGUGAGAGAAAGCAGAGCAGGGUGUGUUUGGUGUAAACGCCGCUGCGAUCGAAUUGGCACAUGAUGCCAAAAGUGGCCAUGACGGCGAAUGCUCAGUAGGAGAGACCCCGGCUGCAGAAGGCUCUGAAGAGGUGAGAGCCAGGCCGGCCUCAGGCUGUGAUUGAGGAGCCAGAGAGCUUAGUUUACA